AGCGAACGCUGGCGGCAGGCCUAGCACAUGCAAGUCGAACGCACCUUCGGGUGAGUGGCGGACGGGUGAGUAACACGUGGGAACGUACCUUUUGGUUCGGAAUAACGCAGGGAAACUUGUGCUAAUACCGAAUGUGCCCUUCGGGGGAAAGAUUUAUCGCCAUUAGAGCGGCCCGCGUUAGAUUAGCUAGUUGGUGAGGU
rnacentral:rRNA from 1 species